GUAGGUAUAUAGUAUAUUUUCGUGAAUCUGACAAAGAAGGUUCCCCUAAAAAUUAAAGAUUUAAAACCAAAUUAAGGGGUGAUGCCAAAUUUGUCACCACUCCACGAGACAGCCUGCAAGGGGGCGGUGUCACCACCCAUGACAUCGAUAAAUCUUCAACCACCUGACAGCCUGAUAUUACUCGCCAUCGAUCCUGCUCUUUCCACACGCCCAUCCUCGCCCCCAUCACACACACGGAUGCACAAGAUUCUUAGCAUUAAUCUUCCCACUUGGAAGCUUAAUUAACUAAUAUAUGUGCAGGUGUACUUGUGAGAAAUCAAUUGCUAACAUCACUCAUCUUGGCCCAUGAUCACCAUGGCCAUCAUGCGUCUAGCACCUUGUAAAGAUCCUCCCGAAUCCAUGUGCUUGCCCUUGAUCGUAUCUAUAAUUAAACAAGAUGGGCUAUAAAAACGUUCUUGUUGCUAAAAGAUUUCAUUUUUCUUAGUGUUCGAGCUGAGAGACCAUAAUUUACCCAUGUUAACUACUUGAGAAAGAUAACUACUGGCAAAGACAGGGAAAUUAAUGAAAGGCAACCCUAGAGAUAUCUUCCCUCACCUUACUUGAAGAGACUGUGCCCUUCACUUAGCUAGGCUGAUUAUAAAUUUGUUGGCCAAUUC
rnacentral:lncRNA from 1 species